rnacentral:lncRNA from 1 species
UUGACACUCUUCGUCGAGCUCCUCAACAUGACUGACAUUUUUUUCGAGGAUAUCUCAUUUCAGUGGUGCACUCGACACCAUUUUCUCUCGAACCUCGAUCAUAUCUUAUAACCUUGACCUAAACAUCUUAUACCCUGAAGCGAUUUGAGCCAGCUCGUUGGCUUCCUGGUUUUCGCUCCUGGGUAUAUUCCUUAUGUUUGUAAUUUCAAAUUGUUCUAGUAGCUGCAUCGCAAUCAC